GUAAAAUUGCGUGGAGGACCGAACCGGUGAGCGUUGAAAAGCUUUCGGAUGAGAUGUGGGUAGGGGUGAAAUUCCAAUCGAACGCGGAGAUAGCUGGUUCUCCCCGAAAUAGCUUUAGGGCUAGCCUGAGGUAGUAAGUAUAGGCGGUAGAGCACUGAUCGGGCUAGGGGCCGUAAAGGUUACCGAACCCUGUCAAACUCCGAAUGGAUAUACUGUAGAGCCUUGGAGUCAGACUACGAGUGAUAAGAUCCGUGGUCAAAAGGGAAACAGCCCAGACCACCAGCUAAGGUCCCCAAUGUCGUACUAAGUGGAAAAGGAUGUGGGGUUUCAUAAACAACCAGGAUGUUGGCUCAGAAGCAGCCACCAUUUAAAGAGUGCGUAAUAGCUCACUGGUCGAGAGACCCUGCGCCGAAGAUUCCCGGGGCUAAAGUACGAAACCGAAGCUGUGGCUGUAUACGUAAAGUAUACGGGGUAGGGGAGCGUUCCCAUAGGGUAGAAGUCGAACUGGAAGGUUCGGUGGACUUGUGGGAAGUGAGAAUGUUGGUAUGAGUAGCGAAAAGAAAGGUGAGAAUCCUUUCCACCGAAAGCAUAAGGAUUCCUGAGCAACGAUCGUCGUCUCAGGGUAAGUCGGGACCUAAUCCGAGGCAGAGAGCGUAGGAGAUGGACAACUGGUUGAUAUUCCAGUACCGGUAGUAAUUGUUUGAGCAAUGGAGUGACACAGAAGGGCAGGCAAGCAUGCGAAUGGAAGAGCAUGUGUAAGCGUGUAGGGUGGUGCAUAGGCAAAUCCGUGCACUGAAAGCCUGAGGCGUGAUGCGGAGUGAGCAGAGAUGCGAGCGAAGUUGUUGACCCCACACUGUCGAGAAAAGCUUCUAGUGAGAGAGCUACCGCCCGUACCGUAAACCGACACAGGUAUGCGGGGAGAGAAUCCUAAGGUGCGCGGGAGAACCCUCGUUAAGGAACUCGGCAAAAUGUACCCGUAACUUCGGGAUAAGGGUAGCCACUGUUGUGAAGUCCCAUGCGGAUGGAGCAUAGAGUGGUCGCAGAGAAGAGGCCCAAGCGACUGUUUACCAUAAACACAGGUGCCUGCUAAAGCGAAAGCUGACGUAUAGGUGCUGACACCUGCCCAGUGCCGGAAGGUUAAGGAAGGAUGUUCGGAUUAGUCCAAAGCAUUCGACUGAAGCCC
rnacentral:rRNA from 1 species